rnacentral:lncRNA from 1 species
GCCAAACUGACGGCGGAGGAACUGGUCAUCUUUUCAACACAGAAAUAUCAAAUCAUUGUCUUCCUGAUUUUUUAGCCACUUUCUUAGCCUAUGUCAGCCUGAAGUUGUUCUUUAUAGAAAGACAAAAAGAAGAAAGAUUAUGUCAAAGCCUACACCAAAUUCUUUCAAAAUGUAUCAGUAGAAAGUUUUCACGUGAAGCACAGCACACUGUAACCAUUCACACCCAGAAUGAACUUCAGCUGCUGUGUUUUCAUCUUUUGCAUUCAUUAGCUAUUUCCUUUUUGUUCCUUUCCCUCCUUUUUAUGUAGGUGGCAUUGGCCACUGCUGAGCAAAGGUUUGGCUUGUUCUGUCAAGUCCUGAAGAUUGAGUACUCCUGGGACUUGGACUCCUAAGUGACUUAGAGCUGUAGUUCUGAAAUAGCUAUCUCAUACUUUGCCCAAGGAGGCUGUGGAUGCCCCAUCCUGGAGGCAUUGAAGGCCAGGCUGGAUGUGGCUCUGGGCAGCCUGGUCUGCUGGUUGGCAGGCAACCCUGCACGUAGCAGGGGGUUGGAACUGGGUGAGCAUUGUGGUUCAUCUCAGGCCAUUCUGUGAUUCUAUGUUUCUAUGACGUACAGAUCUAAGAUUAAACUUUCUGCAUCCAACAUGUCCAACAGGGGUGGUACAAGGAGCGGAAAACCUCAUGGCACGGAUCCCAUAAAGGGCGAGGCAAAGGUGUCCCCUGGAAACAGAGGCCUUGAACAGCUGACCACUGCUGUGAUCUCAUGAAAGAAAACCAGGUUCUCCAGCUAUCCGGGCGCAGGGAUAUUCAGCAAAAUGUCACACAACAGCACCUCAUUCUGACAGAUCCCACUGGCACACCACAGGACCCCUGUCUGCGAUGGUCAUUGUUUCUUCCAGUUAGUACCCAAAAUGUUCCCGCAGAGACAUCACAGUAGGUGACACCCUUUAUAGACUGAGG